rfam:Pseudogymnoascus pannorum VKM F-4520 (FW-2644) contig_2935, whole genome shotgun sequence.
GUGGUGCCAGCGUAGUGGUUAACGCAUCUGGCUACUUCGCAAGAAGGAGCAUUCACAUAGUUGAAUCUCACAGUCUCAGAAGAUCAGCGGUUCGAAUCCGUUGCACCGCA